rnacentral:rRNA from 1 species
CCUACGGGGGGCAGCAGUGGGGAAUAUUGCGCAAUGGGCGAAAGCCUGACGCAGCGACGCCGCGUGAGGGAUGAAGGUCUUCGGAUCGUAAACCUCUGUCAGCAGGGAAGAACGGUCACUGUGCUAAUCAGCAGUGAAUUGACGGUACCUGCAAAGGAAGCACCGGCUAACUCCGUGCCAGCAGCCGCGGUAAUACGGAGGGUGCGAGCGUUAAUCGGAAUUACUGGGCGUAAAGCGCUCGUAGGCGGUAUGUCAAGUCAAGGGUGAAAUCCCCGCGCUCAACGUGGGAACUGCCUUUGAAACUGGCAAACUGGAGUGUGUGAGAGGAUAGUGGAAUUCCAGGUAUAGGAGUGAAAGCCGUAGAUAUCUGGAGGAACAUCAGUGGCGAAGGCGACUAUCUGGCACAUAACUGACGCUGAGGAGCGAAAGCGUGGGUAGCAAACAGGAUUAGAUACCCCAGUAGUC